rnacentral:lncRNA from 1 species
UUAAAUACUAAUUGGAGCCCAACGUAAUUAGUGCAAAUCUUAGUACCAUGAAAUGGGUUAGGCCCAAUUGAGAAAGCCCAAAAUCCUUCCCACAAGUCCUCACUCUCGGUUCUCUCUCUAUCAUCUCUCACGCCUCUCUAUCUCUCUCUCUCUCUACCGACAAUUCUCAUCUCUCCUUCUCUCACGAUCGGUUUUCUCUCUUUUUUUUUUUAUAAAGCAGAACACACUUUUUCUUUUAAUUAUUAACGGUACUGCAUCUUUUUCUUUCUCAGCAAUUAUUCACUUCAUUCUUCAAAAUCAAUCUCUCUCUCUCUUAAUUCUCAAGAAACACACGCUCACAC